UACGGAGGGAGCUAGCGUUGUUCGGAAUACUGGGCGUAAAGCGCACGUAGGCGGCUUUGUAAGUUAGAGGUGAAAGCCCGGGGCUCAACUCCGGAACUGCCUUUAAGACUGCAUCGCUUGAAUCCAGGAGAGGUGAGUGGAAUUCCGAGUGUAGAGGUGAAAUUCGUAGAUAUUCGGAAGAACACCAGUGGCGAAGGCGGCUCACUGGUCCGGGUACUGACGCGUGAGGUGCGAAAGCGUGGGGAGCAAACAGG
rnacentral:rRNA from 1 species